UGCCGGAAUAGCUCAGUUGGUAGAGCAGAGG
rnacentral:tRNA from 1 species